UGAUGAUGAUGAUGAUGAUGAUGAUGAUGAUGAUGAUGAUGAUGAUGAUGAACUCGAUGUGAUCCUCAUGAUGAUGAUGAUCAUGAUCAUUAAAA
rnacentral:sRNA from 1 species